rnacentral:lncRNA from 1 species
CUGGAAGUUCUCUUUUCCCUCCCUCAACGUUUCUAACCUCCAAGAAUAGUUAAGCAAAUGAGGCAUACGCACAAGUGUGGUAAUCAUUUUGAUACUUGAUGGAGAGUUCAAUGUGACAGGACUAUACAUACAGAGAAAUAUGAAGAAGUGAAUAGCAAUGAGAUUUAUGAAGGGUAAACAAUGAUAAUUGAACCAUGGCUAAUAUGUGAAUGUCGAUAGCAGGAAAAAAGUACAAAUAAAUUCAACAUUGAUUUUUGGUCCAUAAAAAGGCCUAGAUGCCUUUGGAAUGCUCAAUCCCGAGGUCACUUCCUCUAUCGUAUAACCUCCCACCUCCAAUGCAAGCAAUGCAAAAUAAAGAAACCCUCUGACUUCAUCUUGAUGGACAAAUUAAACCCUUUUCUUAUCAAGGACAAGUUAAUUCUGCUAAUUCAUGUUAGACUAGCAUGCUUUUCUUAUAUAAGAGAACAUUAUUUCUACCAAGCAUCAACUAUCCACAAAAGAUAUUUUAUGUGCUUAUAAAACCAGUAUCAACCCAUCUACUACUGAUGAAAAAUGAUGACAAAAAUAAAGUCAUAAUGAUACCUGGUUUAAAAUCUUCAUAGAUCUUUAUACUUGUUAUGAAAUGCCAUAGCAAAAAGACAGAUUUGUUACAUCCUAAUUUCACAUUUUCUGAGAAGCUUUAAAGUUUCCUAUAUCCUAUUUUGUUUUAUGAUGUGUUUACAUUAGAUUUUUCAAUUUGCAUUUUAGGUUUUAGAUGGUAUAAUACGCAUCUUAUGUACUAAAUUUUUUAAUCAUUUGCAAUUAAUAGAACACAUAUGAUUAUCAAAAAACAAAAUGUAGAUUAUCAUUUGAUAAAAAUAUAAUUUAUAAUUAUUAAUUAUAAUAAUUGUACAACUCGUUAAAUUUGGGCCAGGCCUAACUCACCCCAAAAGCUAGCUCAAGGGGAGGAGUGCCUAUAGCCCAUAUAAGGGGCACAUUACCCUUUUUCACAACCGAUGUGGGAUUCAACACAACCCCUCACGCUCAGAAUUUUUACUGGUGCGUGGCACAUUUAUGGGGCGCCCAACAUCGGAUGGAGAGACUCUGAUACCAUGUUAAAUUUGGGCCAGGCCUAAAUCACCCAAAACCUAGCUCAUAUAAGGAGCACAUUACCCCUUUCCACAACCGAUGUGGGAUUCAACAUUAUCCCAAAAGAUAGUUCAAGGGGUAGGAGUGCCUAUAGCCCAUAUAAGGGGCACAUUACCCCUUUCCACAACCGAUGUGGGAUUCAACACAACUAUUAAAAUUUAGGCCCCCUUUGCAUUUUAUCUUGUGUUCGCCUAUUGAUAAUCCUAAUAAAAUUCAUAAAAAAAAUGAGAGCGAAAACAAGAUGUCUAAAGUCUAAACCAUUAAUAGUGGCAUCAAUUUUCACUGUCAAAACAUAGGAAUUACUUUCUUAUACAUAAAAAGGACAUCAAAUCACGGGUAGUGAAUAGUGAAAGCCAACACCAAUAUCAACUAGGAGUUGAGGGCUCUAUGUCGUAUUAGGCUUAACAAAUCCUACUCCCAUAAGGAAAGUUCACCAGAGGAAAAGAAAGCUUGCAAAAGAGCCCCAAGGUAUGAAGCAAACAAUACCAUGAGGAUGGACCAAGACCAAGUGAAUAAUUAACUGUGAAAGUGUUUCAAAUUUCAAAUUGCAGAAAAGAAAUUUGAAUAUUAAAAUAAUAAGGCAUCCAAAAGGUUAAAGAGAACAUAAGAAUAAAAUAAAACUAAAAAUGACAAUAUAUUGCAUUUUUCAUUCUCAAGGUUAGUAUGGAGAACAAAAUAAAAUUUUAUUUACUAGGAACAAGAAUCUGAAAAAUAAAACUCUCUUAAAUGUGAAACAACAAAAGCAAUUGACAUUUGCAUGACAAAAUUGAACCAAUGGUAUUUUGCCCCCGAAUAAUAAUAAUGACAAUGGCGGACCAAUGUUAACUGACAUGUGUGUGUGUGUGGGUGUGUGUGUGUGAGGGGAGAGAGAGAAAGAGAGAGAGGGGCAAAAACUCAUCUUGAUAUUUAAGAAAAGUGAUAUAGAUUUUAGACAUAUAUCACACGAAAGAAAAUAGAUACAAAUUAAGUAGAGACUAGAGAGAGAGAUUCAAAAAGGUGGUGCAACAAAAACUUAAACAUGUCAUUCAUGAUUUCAAGCAAAGAAUAACUAGUGAAGAACAAUUUAUAUUAAAAACUUGAAAAUGAAUAACUGAAGCAUUACCUGUAUAGUGGCCAGAGAUGCAUCUCUGGCUACCCCCACAUGUAAACUCAACUCAACAAGAUUGAUAAGAACAGAAACUUUCAUGGAAAUCCAUACUUUCCCGUUCUGGGCCUCCAAUUCACCAAUAUUGUCCUGAGAAACAACAGGUUCUACAGCAUCAGCAGAAAAUGCCCCAGAAUCAAGCUCAAGAGGAGGCAGAAGAUGAGGAGUCUCAGACAUAUUAGACAGCGCACAUUCAGUAAUAAUCUGGUACUCCCUAUUAGAUAGAACCGCUUUUAAAUCUUCUAUCUGAUGAAGUACAAUGUUAGAUACAAGUAAGCACUUUUGUCUUUCCAUAAAUUGCAAAUAAUUGUGAAAAAACAGAAAAUAGUCCGAAGGGAUAAAGAAAGUAUGAAAGGAGACAUGGCAUGAAAUUUGAAAUACAACACCUUGAUUGUUGCUUCUACAAUUGGUAUUUGAUGCAACAAGUCUCUAAGUGACCUUCGAAUGCCAAUGGAAACCCCCUUGACAUCUUGAAUUAUGCUUUCACCUAAUUCUGUCCCAAUACCGACAUUUAAAUUGAUGUCCUCAACCUAUAACUCAAAGAAGGAAAAAACAAAAUAAACAACAACAACAACAACUAAGCCUUAAUUCCAAAUUAAUUGGGUCUAUAAGUCUAUAGGAUAAAAUGCCAAACAGUGAUGGUGAGCGUUAAGUGUAUGAAAUCAGAACAAACAAUAAAUCUCUUCCUUGGAUCCACCAAUAAACAAGGCUGGAUAGCAAAUUUCAAUUUUACUAUGAUGAAAUAAAUAAAUUUGAGAGCAUAUUUGUGUAAUUCUCACUGAUAAGAUUUUUGUUACAUGUCUGCUAUUUAUAUACUAUUAUAGAAAGUCAACCUUGUAGACACUUUUACCUAUUUUAGAGAUCAUAUUCCUGUUGGAAAACUCACUCGGUCCUUAAACUAUUGUCUUUUGUUAGAAAACUCACGCGGUCCAUAUGCUAUUCUGUCUUGUCUUUUUUUUUCUCUAGCUAUUGUUUGUUUCAGAUCUUCCAACAAAGCAGUUUAUCAAUAGAGAAUGAGAGUCUGGUGACCUCUACAUCGUUGUUAGACAAGCACCUCAAUAUCUUACUUGCUGCUUUGCUUUAACUCCUCUUGACAUCCACUACAGAUUGGGUCAUCCCGCCUUGCCUACUUUGAAUAAAUUGUAUCCUCAGUAUUAAUCUCUGUCUAUCCUAAAAUAUGUUGUGUAUCAAUUUGCCAAGCAUCACCGUUUACCUUCUUUGCUUAGAGUUAAUAAGCGAGCUUUAUCCCCCUUUUGAGUUAGUUCACUCUGAUAUAUGGGUGAUAGAGCAUAAUUUAAUCCAUUUUAUAUUAAUAUUAUUGAUGAAUAUUUAUAUGAUUUCUGCUUAAUUUAGUGCUUUUAAUAUUAUUUUGCAGAAAAUAGUGUAAAAUGACAAUUUGGAGAAAAUCCCCUUAAAACUGCCUUAUUUGGAGCCAAGAAAUAAUUGGGCAGCUAAGGACACUUGAUCCAUGGACCCACACUUGGGCCCGCACAUGGACAGCCCAUGGGCCAAGCGCAUGGCCACCACUUCACUAUUUCCGCACGACCUUGCACUCGCGGCCCAUUUCAGCACGUUCACUCACACAAUGGACCAAUCUUCACAUGGCCCGCCACUCACGCACCGUCCACCACGCACAUGGGAUCCGCACGAAGCCACUGCACCACAAUCAAUUCACGCGGGCCAAAGCUCUCUGCACGUGGACCGCUUCAUCCACUCACGCACAUUCAGACACGCGGAAAGCCCACUUCACACGGACCCGCGCAUUCCUUCACGAUGGCCCAUUUCCACCUUGCACUCACGCAUAUGGACCCGCACAAUCAAUUCACACAGCACGUGGACCAAGCCUCCGCAGACCCGCUUAUGGCCCGCUCUUUCUUUGCACAUGGGCCCGCACACUCAACUCACACACACGGGCAGCAACGCUCACAGCCAAGGGACACACGCGUGCGCGGACAGAAAUUUCCUAAUUAGGGGCACUCCUCUACACCUAUUUAAAGGCUCUUCAGUGAACGAUUACAUAGAAUUCAAUACUCGGCAAUUCCGCAAGUUCGGCGCAGCUCUCUUCGGUUCUUCUUUCUUUCUUUUUCUUUUAUUUUUUUAUUUUUAAUUCAGCCAAUGAGUGGCUGAUUUUUUUCAUCUAGUUGAAUAUUGGUUGAAACUUUAGUUGUUUAAUGGGUUGUGAGACUUAAUCAAAUAUUGUUUAAUUUUGGGAAUUCAAUAUUCAUGCAAUUUCAUAUUUAAUUCUCAUAUUAUUUUGUUAUUGAAAUCUACGUUGAUUUUUUAUUGCAAAAUAAUUAUUUGUUAGUUUGAAUAAUUUAAGUCCGUAAUUACUUGGGUUAUUCUUACAUGAGAACACUUGGGAUAAAACCCAAGGAAAUUGUUUGAUCUAGCGUUAUCUCCAUACGUUUGGGUAACUAGGAUUGGAUCUCUCUAUUUCUUAAUGCAAUUGACAAUUGUUUUGAUGCCUAAGGCCCAAGGACGUUCCUUGGCAAUUUGUUAAUUAGUAAUUAAUUAGAGGACGUUCCCUAAUUGGUUUAAUCAUAAGGAGAGAUAAUGGUGGUGAGAAGCGUCUUCCAUCCCCAUAACUAAUCUAUUGAAUCAACCCAAAAGAACAAAGUGUCUGUGAUCAAUCCCAAUGAUUAAAGUGGAUCCAAUACUUCAACUAGAGCUUUCUUAUUAUUUAUUUCUCUUUUAUUUUAUUAUUCGCUUAUUUUAAUUGUUUUUAGUAGUUUAUUAAUCAAAUCAAUCUCAAACCCCCCCAUUUUACUUUUACUGCAAUUUAUUUUUAUUCCGCUUUCAGUUUAUCUCAUUUUUGGUUUAUCUCAUUGUUUCAGUUUAUUUUAUUGGUCUUGUUGAGAAAAAUAAAUAGGUAAUCAAUUCUCUGUGGAUUCGAUCCUUCACCACUAUCUGCAGUUGUAAAUUGUUGAUAACCAAGAAGGUUAUUUUUGACCGGCUUCGACAACCGCGAGUCAAUGGGCCCCCAUUUUGUUAGUUCUAAAGCUGGGUUUAGAUAUUUGUCACUUUUAUGGACCAUUAUUCGUGUUAGGUUUAGAAUAAUAAAAAAUAGAGAAAAAUAAAACCUUUGAUGAAAAGAAGAAAAAGAAGGCAGAAGAUUUGAGAGAAAAUACAUGAUUAUUCCCUUCAAGCCAAUUGGGGUAUAUAUACUACUUACAAGAGUACAUAUAAUAAAUUAAUUCCCUAAUUAUAGUCUAAUCAUAUUUCAAUCAUAUCACACAAUCAUAUCCCUAAUUAUCACUACAAAUCUAGACUAUUUAUAAAAAUAAUCUCAACAAGGAAAAUAACACAAUAUGAUUUACGUGGUUCGGCCGUUCAACUAUGAGAGCCUACGUCCACGGACACAACCUCAAAGGGCUACAUCUUUACUGACUUACAUUUUGUCUCCCUAUAAUACAAAGGCUUCCCUAUUUAUAACGGAGGCUUCCUUGUUCUGCUUCAGCACUUGACCGAGCAACAACACUUUGUUUUUUAUUCCUCCAGGUGAUAAAGUUCCCUCCCAUAACUAUACAGUAGCCAGAGGUGGAUCUCCUAUCAUCGAGAGAUCCAGACCAACCUGCAUCUGUAAAAGCUUCAAAUUGGAGGUGACUAUAUUUAGAGUAAAGCAGCCCUUUCCUUAUGCAAGCUUUAGGUAUCUCAAGAUGUGAAGGACAACCUGCAUAUGAAUCUCGCCGGAGGUCAUGAAUGAUAUUGCUGACUAAGCAACAACAUAGGCUAUAUUUGGUUGAGUGUAUGAGAUAAAUCAACAUUCCUACCAAUUAUUGGUAUUUUCCAAUAUCCACAGACUCACUAGUUCCUGUUUGCAUCUUGUGAUUACUUUCAAUGAAAAAUUCUGUUGGUUUACACCCAAUAUACAUCUAGAAUGUACUUUUUUUUGAGAUAUAAAGAUUCCUUUUUCUGAUCUAGCCACCUCAAUACCUAGAAAAGAUUGAAUUUUUUCUAGAUCUUUGAUUUCAAAUUCUUGAGCCAACAAUCUUUUUAAUUGAGCCAUUUUCUCUUUAUCAUCACCUAUCACCACUAUAUUAUCAACAUACACAAUAAGAAAGUGAUCUUACAACAUACACAAUAAGAAAGUGAUCUUACCUUUAUGAUUUUGAAUAAAUAGAGUGUGAUCAGCAUUGCUCUAUCAGUAAUCAAAGAACAUCAUGGAUCUGCUAAACCUAUCAAACAACUCAAACCAAGCUCUAGGAGAUUGUUCUAGCCUAUACAAAGCCUUUUUUAACCCGCACAUCUUUUCUUGUAUUUUCUCAUUAGUGAACCUAGAAAGGAUCUCCAUGAACACUUCUUUUUCUAAAUCUCCAUAGAGAAAUACAUUCUUCACAUCAAACUGCUGAAAGUCCCAGUCCAAGUUGACUGUACAAGAUAAUAGGACUCUGAUUGAGUUCAUUUUUGCAACUGACGCAAAUGCCUCUUUAUAAUCUACUCCAUAGAUUUGAGUGAAUCCUUUAGCAACCAAUCUGGCCUUAAAUUGUUUAAUUGAGCCAUUAGCUUUGUGAAUACCCACUUACAGCCAACAAGUUUAUUCGCUAGUGGGAGAGUGACAAGCUCUCAUGUCUCAUUUUUGGCCGGUGCUUUAUCUCUUCAAUAUUGCUCCCUUCUAUUUAGGAUCUACAAGAACUUCCUUCUAAUCCUACGAAUAAACACAGAGAAAAUAGAUAAGGCAAAGGCUCUAUAAGAGGGGACAAUACCUUUUUUUUGUGUAAUAGUUUUAUCUAAAUCAUUGGAGCAUUCAAGAGUUGUAUGUAACUCAUCAAAAAAAUAUUCUUGACUUUAAGUAGACUGCAUAAUGACUUUUUCUGCCUUGUCUCUCCUCGAAUACCUUCUCAAAUCUGGCUUGUCCAAACGUUCAAUUCUCUCCCCUGAUUGGACAUUUCCACCUGUCUACUAAAACUCGCUCUCUGAACUAUAUCAUUCAGAAUCAGAGAAUUCGGGAUCACCUUUUCCUACUCAUUAUUCUCCCUCUGAAGAAGUGAGUGGGUGGAUACCAAAUAAAAUUCAGUUUCUCAGAAAGUAACAUCCAUACAAACAGUAUUUUCUAAAUAGAGGAUGAUAACACCUGUAUCCCUUUUGUGUCGAAGAAUACCCGGCAAACACAUAUUUAAGGGCCUUGGGGUCCAACUUUCCAACCGUCCUAGUAUGGACAAAACAAAACCCAAAUACUUUUGGAGGAACAAUGUAUGAAUUCCUUCCUUGUAGAACCUCCAAAAGGACUCAUAAAAUCAAGGGGCUUGAGGGGCAUUCUAUUGAUAAUAUAAACAAAUAUAAAGACUGCAUUUUCCCAGUAUGCUUUGAGUAGGUCCAUGGUGAACCUAAGAGAUCGAGCUACCUCCAAUAGAUACCUAUUUUUCCAUUCAGCAAUGCCAUUUUGUGCACUAGUAUAAGGACAAUUUGUCUGGUAUACUAUCCCAUUAGACUCCAAAUAAGCAGAAAACCUAUUGUCCAUAUAUUCUCUUCCAUUGUCAGUUCUCAAAAUUUUCACCUUAAUAUAAAAUUGAGUUCAAAUCAUCUUGUGAAAGGAAUGAAAACAAAAAAAAACAAAAAAAAAUAAAAAAAAUAAAAAAAAACAUCACUUUUAACUUUAAUCAAACAAACUAAGCACACUGAGAUUGAUUAUUACUUAGAUAAAAAAAAGCUUCAAUAAGAGAUUAUCUUAAUCGAGCACAUCAAAACUUAAGACAGUUAGGAGAUAUUUUCACUCACAUAAGCUCUAAAUGGAGCUCAUGUAGACCAUAUUUGUAACAAGUAUGAUCAACAUCUAUACUCCAACUCGAAGGGGAGUGCUAUAGAAAGUCAACCUUGUAUAUACGUUUCCCUACUUCAGAAACCGUGUUCCUGUUUAGUUAGAAUAAUAAUUAGGUAUGAUCAUAGGGAUUAUGUUCCUAUUUUAAUUACCAUAAACGUGUUAUAUAUCUGUACCAGAUGAUUGUGUAAAACAAUAAAGUAAUUCCAUGAACACAUAAGUAAUAUACCCAAGAUUGGAAACUAAAAUAAUAGGAGAUAGUAAUAAAAAUAAGAAUAGUAAAAAAUAUACAAAUAAAUCUCCUAACAAUCUGCUAUCACUUCAGUUAUGAGAUUCCAGCAAAUUAAGGGAUUUCAACAUGCUGCUAAAAUUCUCACCUGAAUCAUUAGCAAUUCCAAAUGGACAGCACUCAUCUCACUCUUGUCACCAUAAAACCAAUGGAAGGUGUUCUGCACAGUUAUUUGAACCACAUCCAGCUUCAAGUAGCUGUGAUAAAAACAAUUUAACAAUGUGUCAUAGACAUUGUGGCAAAGCAUAAACUUUCUUAAGCCUAAAUGUCAACUUACUCAGGACUAUCUGUUCUUCUAGGCAUCAAUAUUAUUGGCUUCCUAAGUGAAAUGUCCAACUUCAGAGCAGGUGAUCCUUCAAUUUCACUGGUUGUAAAUGACUUCCCAGAAUUUGUCACUUGAUCAUUUAAUUUAACAAGACCCUUUGAAUUGUUGGGAGAUAGACCCAUAAAGUAACUAACAAUCUGCAUAUCAAAAGUUGACAAUACAUGAGAAGUGAAAUAUAACCAUGUAAAAUGGUUAAAAUGCUUAAAGUUGAUUUACCUCCUGCACGAAUCGAUUCAAAUAGACAAUGCGCACUUCUGAAAGCUGGCCAAAAAGGCUAUAUUCAUAACCUUCAUAGUCUCCGUCAUCAACACUAAAUGAAGCAAAAACCAGCUGCAUAAUAACAAGUUAAGGCUCGUAACCACAACAUAAAAAGAUAAGUAUAUAUACAACAGUUAAAAUACGAGAAAAUAGAAAAUGUUGAAAACCAGCAUCAAAAAGAAAUACAGAAAUCAGAGCACUACAGGCAUACAGUAUUAAACUACAAAGUAACAUAUCAACAAUUGAAAAUCUCGAGAAAACCAAAUACUAUUUUCCUUUGUUGUAACUUGUAAGUUGUAAGAGAAGCACAACAUAAAAGAAAUAAUAAAAAAAAAAAAAAGAAAACAGAGCAAUACACACCUCAACAAAUGAGCUUCCCCCUGGAUUUCUCAUAUCACAGAUCCAGAAAUAUGCAUGGUUGCUAGGAAGACUCUCAUCACUUAUUCUUAGAUUUCCCAGAGCUGCUUUUAUACUAAAAGAGCUUGGAAAUACCUUAUUUAAACAAAAAUUAACAAGCAUAAACAGAUAGUAUCAUUCUAAACAAAAAGAACACUAAGGAAAGGGAAAAAACUGAAGCAAACCUUGAUAUCUGUAAGUAAAUUAUCUUGGGACAAAGACGCUAACUUAGUUUCAUUUUCAUUCAUCAACAUAAUCUGAGCACGGGCCAUAUUCAACACUAUAUUGAAAAUAAUUCUAGAUUUUCCCUUCCCCAGCAAACCCUUAACAACAGGGUCCUCGAUCGUUGACAAAUUUUGGUCAUCAACCACUCCUCUAAUAUCGUCAUGCUCAACCAUCAAUGCUGAAUAAUUACCACUGCCAGAUUCACUAUUUCCUUCUUCAACACUAAUAGCAUUGACAAACUCCAUGAUGGCAAGAAUUGUGGGUCUGCGGCAGAAAAAUGACAAAGUAGCUAGCAUCACUGAUACCUGAAAUCACCAUUUACAAAUUAGUCGGUCCAUUAGCCAACCAAAUGGACUGAAAGCAAACACUCUACCAGAGAAAACUAAUCAACCUGCAUGUCAAUAUUAUUAUAUAGAGAAGAGUUCUGGUCGUAGAUAAUUAUCUGAGCUUUCACAAAACUAUCUAAGGUAUCAGUUAGUUCAACAUCCUCCAUGCGAUUUUGAACAGUAUCAACAGGUAGUAAGCCACUGAUUCGAGUAAAAGUGGGAAGCUUCAACAAGGCAUCUUCGAAUGGAUGUGAAAUUGGGGAAGCCAAACACUCAGGAUCAACCAAAUCCUCUGAUGCUUCGUAGAACUUGUCCUCACCUUCACUAGGUGUGACAUUAUUGUUGUUAAAGCUCUUACUCCCAGCCUGUUCAAGUGAUGACGAAUGCUCUUCACUUCGGAUGAAUGAUCUUGCUAGGAAAGAAGACCGAGAAAUGCCAUUGCAACAAACUAAAUCUUCAAUCUCCAAAGAUUUCAAAACAGUGCCAAUGAACAUGUCAUUUUCUCUAAUUGACAACUCAACCUGUGUUAAAAAAAAAUACCAUAAUGAGAAAAAGAAAAUGCAUGAGUGAACUGAACUGUCAUUCAGUAUCAUUUGUACCUGGCCACCAAUUGCUCGAAAUUCAAAUAAAGGAAUCUCUUCAGAAAGAAGCACCUUUAGAAAACUCAGGUCAUGCUAGCAAAAGCAGCAGAUAUAUAAGAUUUCAAGUUCUUCCAUCGAAAAGGAACAUAAGAACACAUGUUCUCCAGGCUUUACCUGACGAUUGUAAUUGAAGCAAAACUUUAGUUCAUCAAGAACUCCUGUUAAAAAAACACGUUCCAUCUCCAAUGCAUCACUUGUAUCAGUGUUGCUAUUGAGUCCCAUUUCUGAGCUCUCGGAAUCUGAUGAAGUUUCAGAAAGACCAGUAAUAGGUGCUGAACCCUGUGUAGAAAUCCAUGGGUAAGAUCUUUGAUUAUGCCUUCAAAAUGAAACAUUUUGCCACAAACCCUCCAUAAGCACAGAAAUUGUUGUAAUUUUUUACACAUUUCCUGCGCAUUUUUGCUUAAGAUUACUCUUUAGUUUUAUAAUAACUUAUAAACUGAUUAUUGAAUUGUUUAUCAAAGCACAAACAAAAUGAUCUAUAACCUUCUUCCGGUAUUUCUACCAAUAAUUUCUUUAUCUUCUACGUGAAAAUUUCCUGAAAAUGAUAUUUUUAGAAAAACUUAUUAAACCAUUGAUUUAACUACUUCUGUGAAUAAAAUAUUUUACAAAUAAUUAGUUUAUGUUUCUUAAAUGUAAAGGACUAAUUAAAUCAAUUUUAGAAAUUGAAUCAACUAAAACAACAGAAAUUAAACAAGCUUAUGAAGAAAGGAAUAGCAACGAAAAGAUACGUGAAGAAUUUUAGAGUAUUAUUGUAUUUCACUCUUGAUCUUUACAAGUAAUUUAUAUAAUUAUUUAUACACAAAAAAUUACAAGCAAAUAAUAAAAGAAUAAUUAAGGAUCCUAAUUUAUGGCUAGAAUCCAUAAUCAGAUCAGAUCAUAUCAUUAGAAUCAGCAAAUAAGUCAACACUCCCCUCAAGUUGGUGCAUAAAUGUCGCACAUGCCUAACUUGCAAAUUAAAUUAUUGUAGAUCUAUUGUUGAGCCCUUUAGUGAACACAUCUGCAAGUUGCACAGUAGAAGUCACAUGAACUAAACUCAAGACACCGUUUAUUAAUUUUUCUUUAAUGAAAUGUCGAUCAAUCUCAAUGUGCUUCGUUCAGACAUGUUGAACCGGAUUUUGUGCUAUACUGAUGGCAGCUUUGUUGUCACAAUACAAAGUUAUCUUGUCUCUCGAGCAACCUCAACUCCUACAAUAACUUCUGCAACCAUAAAAGUUUACACCUUGGGCCAUUGCUUUGUAUUCUGCUUCAGCACUUGACUGAGCUAAUAACACUUUAUUUUUUGCUCCUACAGGUGACAAGGUUCCCUUUUACAACUGUGCAGUAGCUAGAGGUAGAUCUCCUGUCAUCGAGAGAUCCUACUCAAUCUGCAUCUGUAAAAGUUUCAACUCAAAGGUGACCAUAUAUGGAGUAAAGAAGCCCUUUCCCUGGCGUAGACUUCAAGUAUCUCAAGGUGCGAGGGACAGCUGCAUAUUAGUCUCGCAAGGGUCAUACAUGAAUUGGCUGAGAGAUAAAUCAACCUCCCUACCAAUCAUUGGUAUCUUCCAAUAUUCACAGACUCAUCAGUUCCUGCUUGCAUCUUAUGAUUACUUUCAAUGGGAGAUUCUGCUAGUUUACACUCCAACAUACCAGUAUCUUCCAAAAAGUCCAUAAUAAAUUUUUUUUAGAAGAUAAAGAUUCCUUUUUUUAAACUAGCCACCACAAAACCUAAGAAAUAUUGAAACUUUUUAGAUCUUUGAUUUCAAAUUCUUGAGCCAAUAACCUUUUUAGUUAAGCCACUUCCUCAUUGUCAUCAACAUACACAAUAGAAAGAGUGAUCUUACCCUUGUGAUGUUUAAUAAACAGAGUAUGAUCAACAUUGCUCUGUUAGUAACCACAAGACAUCAUGGUUCUACUAAACCUGUCAAACCAAACUCUAGGAGAUUGUUUUAACUCAUACAAAGCAUUUUUUAAUAUGCACACCUCUCCUUCUAUUUUCUCAUCAGCGAUCCCAAGAGGAAUCUCCAUGAACACUUCUUCCUCUAAAUCCCCAAGAAAGAAAGCAUUCUUCACAUUAAACUGCUAUAAGUCCCAAUCCAAGUUGGCUACACAAGAUAAUAGGACUCUGAUUGAGUUCAUUUUUACAACUGGGCAAAUAUUUCUUGAUAAUCCACUCCAUGGGUUUGGAUAAACCUUUCAGCAACCAAUCUGGGCUUAAACUGUUCAAUUGUGCCAUCAACUUUACACCCAACAAGUUUCUUUCCAGGUGGGAGAGUAACAAGCUCCCAAGUCUCAUUUUUUACCAGUACUUUCAUCUCAUCAAUAAUUGCUCCCUUCCAUUUAGGAUCUACAAGAGCUUCCUCUCAAUCCUGUGGAAUAGAUACAGAGGAAAUAGAUAAAGAAAAGGUUUUAUAGGAGGGAGACAAAGAUUCAUAAGAAAUAGAGUGUUUAUACAAGAUCUGACACAUUUUCUUUGUGCAAUAGGUUCAUCUAAAUUAUUAAAGCAUUCAAGAGUUGUGGGUAACUCACCAGAAGAAGAUUCUUCUUCUGCCUUGUCUCUCCUCGUAUACCUCCUCAAAUCUGGUUUGUCCAGACGUCCAAUUCUCCCAUCUGAUCGGAUAUCUCUCCCUGUCUACUAGAACUAUCUCUCGAAACCAUGUCAUUUAGAAUAAUAGAAUUCGGGAUCACCUCUUCUUUCUCAUUAUUCUCCUCUUGAAGAGGUGAGUGGGUGGUACUAAAGUAGGGUCAGUUUCUCGAAAGGUAACAUCCAUACUGACAAAGUAUUUUCUAGAUAGAGAAUGAUAACACCUGUAUCCCUUCUGUGUCGAAAGAUACCCAACAAACACACAUUUAAGGGCCUUGGGAUCCAAUUUUCUCGCCGUCCUAGUAUGGACAAAGCAAAUACACUCAGAUACUUUUGGUGGAACAAUACAUGAAUUCCUUCCUUGUAGAACCUCCAAAGGACUCAUGAAAUCAAGAGCUUUGAGGGGCAUUCUAUUGAUAAGAUAAGCAGAUACAAGGACUGCUCUUCCAUUGUCAAUUCUCAAAAUUUUUACCUUAAUAUCAAAUUGAGUACAAAACAUCUUGUGAAAGGAUUAAAAACAAGAAAAAACAUCACUUUUUGCUUUAAUCAAAUAGACCCAAGUCAUUCAAAUGCAACAAUCAAUAAAGGUGACAAACCAUUGAUACCAAACAAGGAGAUAGUUUGAUUAGGCCCCCAAACAUCAUAAUAAAGUCAUAAAAGGAAUUUGGCUUUUAUUAUGACUUAAAAGAUAGGAGGUUUUAGUGUAAUUAGCAUACUCACAAGUAUCACAAAAUAAAGAAUCAAACUAAGUUCUAGUAAACAAAUUAGGAUAAACUUUUUCUAAGAUAAAAAAUGGAUGCCUUAACCGCCUGUAUCACUGUAAUAUUUCCUGAUUGACAUUCUUAUUUUCUCCAAAACAGGCUUGAGAUAUCGGAGAACCUGGAUCACCGUCCAAUAUGUAUAAGCCAUCACGCAAUCUACCAUUGCCAAUCCUCUUCCCGGUGAGAAAAUCCUAAAUAACAUAAUGAUCAAGAAAAAACUCAAUUUUAUAGUUAGAAGCAUUAGUGAUAGCACUGACAGAUAAAAGGUUGACAGGAAAUUGAAAACUCGAAGGAUAGAUGAUAAUUUAAUAUCGAACGCACAAAUAACAGAACCUAUUCCGAAUAUGGGAUUAAAAGAGUCAUCAGCAAUUCUGAAACUGCAUUUGCUUAGGGAAAGAAAAUAAUUAAAAAAGCCUUUAGAAGAGCCUGUCAUGUGUCUAUUCGCACCAGAAUCAAUAAUCCAUGUAACAGUUUCAAGAGAAAAAGCAUUACCUGACUUUACAAAGUUAAAUGUAACACCAGACUCCAAGGGAGGAAGAGGUGUCAAUAUGAGACACGAAGCGCUUCAGACCCUUAAUUUCAUUAGAGGAAAGAAACUCAGCAGUUGUUGUCUCCUUAAAGGGCUCCUCCACACGUCUGCUAAAUUAGCUUGAGCUCUAGAGGUACCUCGUUGUUUCCUCCACGGCCUCUAGUGGGACGACCAUAUAACUUCUAGCAAGUCUUCUUGGUAUGCCUCAGUUUCCCAUAAUAGUCACAAUGAUUGUGAUCUUUCUUAGAAUUAGGAGGCUGCGGGUGCUCAAAUUAGUAGACAACCCAGCCUUUUCAACUGGUGCGGUGCAGUAUAGAGCAUAGCAUGUCGGCAACUUUCCUCCUGUUGAACAUGCACAUGGGCCUCUUCCAAAAAANNNNNNNNNNNNNNNNNNNAAAAAAAAAAAAAGAUUUUUCCCCAACACUUAGACCCGAAUUGAAUCAUAUUCAUUAUUCAACCCUGCAAGAAAAUCAUAGACCCGCUCCCUUUCAAUCAUUUUCCAAAAUUUGACUGCAUCUCCAGCAUAGUUUGCAUCUCCAGUACAGUCUGCAUCUCCAGUACAAUCUGCCUGGAAGUCCUGAUAGUAAUCAAGCUCCUGCCAUAAGCCACAUAACUCAGAAUAAAAUUGCAAGAUAGUCAUUUCUCCUUGCUUAGUACCAUGGAUCUUAUUUCGAAUAUCAUAAAUUUGGGUAUCAUUCCCAAUCUUGGAAUAAGUUAAGGAUAAAGCCUUCCAUAUUUUUGCACUAGUAUCAAUUAACAAACAGGACUUAAAGAUAUGUGGUUGCAUAGAGUUAAGUAAUCAUGUCAUAACAAGACAAUUAUCUAAUUCCCAUUGAAAAAAAUUUGGAUCCCUCUCGUCCGGUUGCUUCUUAUUACCAGUGAUAUAGCUAUGCAGUCCUCUAGCCUUGAUAAACAACAAACAAGACCUUGACCAAGGAAGAUAAUUGAUUCCAUCAAGUUUUACGAGACUAAUUUGCAAGGAAAGAUUAUCAGAGUUAGGAAUCGAGACCUUUUUGCCUUCUGCCCAUGGUAAAAAUAAAUGAACCGUGAAAGAAUAGAAAAUACCUAAGGUUGUACACACAAGAGAGCCAAUCGAAUUACCAAAAGACCAAGUAGCAGCACCGGAUGGUUGGAAAGAGGAUCGAAAUUGGUACCAGAGUGAUCGGAGCGGCGAAGCAGCAUCAGACAGAUCUCACACCCUAGGAAGGAGGGCGCGUGAGCCUCAUGCGCAUGGCUUUCCAGCGUCAAAGCGGGUGGUCUGUCCGGCAAUGAUCCAGCGGUUCUCUUGGUGGCGACAGUAAGAUGUGAAAAGAUCCUCUAGAUAGAGUAGUAUCAAAAAGAUAGAUCUAAGGUUUUAGAAACCCUAAAGAAGAAAAUUUGAAUGUAAACCCUAAAAUCAAAAAAAUAUUGUGAUACCAUGAAGAAUUUUGGAGAAUUUUAGAGUAUUUCUAUAUUUCACACUUCAUCUUUACAAGUGAUUUACAUGACUAUUCAUACACAAAACAUUACAACUAAUAAGAAGCAAAUAAUCAAAAAAUAAUUAUAGACAUAAUUAAGGAUCCUAAUUUAUGUCUAGAAUCCGUAAUCAAAUCAAAUCAUAUCACUGGAAUCAGCAAAUAAGUCAACAAUAAGUUAACUAUAAUAAAGGACAACAAAAAUUAGGAACAAAUCACUUCAUAAUUUUUAGAUGGUAAAAACAAGAAAGAGAACCCUAGGGGACAGUGCAAGCCAAUUUUAAAAGAAAUAUAUCCUUUUCAACCUUUUUUGCUCUAUUAGUCAAUAGACUACAAAAUCUUUUAAGAUUAUAUACAAAUACAAUUGUUGACCAACAUAAAGGAUUCCUAAUGUUUAGGCAGAUUUUUGGAUUCUAAUUAUGCUUGAUUAUAGGAAUUUUAUUUCCUACCUUUAUUAUAGAUAUUCCUAAUUAGGUGUGUUAUAAAUAUUUCUAAUUAGGUUGAUUUUGUGUAUAAAUAGCCAAACAUUGUAAAGAUCAAUUCAAUUGUAACAUUAAAAAAAAAAUUCCUCUCAAAAUUCUACAUGGUAUUAGAGCAUAAGCCUAAUUUAGGGUUGUAAUUCAAUUUUAAAUUUUCAAAAUCUUAAGCAAUCAAAUUUGGUACUCUCCGGUCUAAGCCUAUUUUCUUUCAUCACCGCCACUUCCCAUCGAGUCGCAGCCUUCUCGAAGGUUGUCCGCCAGUCUCCGGUGAGCUGUCCACCAGUCUCUGGUGAGCCAUCCGCUAGCGCACGAGUCUCACGCGCCACCCAUUGCCAGCGCGUGAGACUGUUUCUAGCAAGGAUCUUCACGUCUAUUCGCCGUUGUUGACUCUGGACUCCUGUUUCCGGCCUUCUGCUGUUGUUUCUUGCUCUGUUGAUUUGUUGCUGUGGGCAGACUCUUUAUCGUUGUUUUGGAUAUUCCUUUUGCUUUGUUGCUGCUGUUUACUGCGCUAGAAGCAUAAAGAAUUUCUUGUGGAGUUGGGUGUUGAUUGGGUAUUUGUUUUAGUUGGACAAUCUCUUUCCCGUGAUGGGUUUGUUGUUUUUCUAAUAUGUCGUCUCUUGAUGCUACUCCAUAGAUUAUUGAUUUCGGUGCAAAUAGACAUAUGAUAGACUCCUCUAUAAGCUUCCUUAAUUACCUUCCAUAUCCAUAAAUUUGACCAUUUGACGUAGCUUAGAUGGUAAAAACAAGAAAGAGAACCCUAUGGGACACUGCAAGCCAAUUUUAAAAGAAAUAGAUCCUUUUCAACCUUUUCUGCUCUAUUAGUCAACAGACUGCAAAAUCUUUUAAGAUUAUAUACAAGUACAAUUGUUGACCAACAUAGAGGAUUCCUAAUUAGGAAGAUUCAAUCACUGUUUGGGCAGAUUUUUGGGAUUCUAAUUAUGCUUGAUUAUAAGGAUUUUAUUUCCUACCUUUAUUGUAGGUAUUACUAGUUGUGUUGUAAAUAUUUUUAAUUAGGUUAAUUCUUUGUGUGUAACUACCCAAACAUUGUAAAGAUUAAUUCAAUUGGAAUAUAAUAAAAAAUUUCUCCCAAAAUUCUACAACAAUACUAACUAAAAGUCAAGUAUGAUAUUGAAGGAUUUACUGAAGCACUAUAUAUAGCCCUCUGCAGGCGGCUUUGCCAAUUUCUCCGUGAAUCACCAGAAUCACAUAGCAGUAUUACUGAAUUCACAUCUUCUACAACCUACACACAAAUUCAAUAUGAAAAUGAGAUGAUGUUUAAGGAGAUAAUUCAAAUAUGAAUGGCCACUCUGGGAACUAAAAGGAUGACAAGAUACAAACACAACAAGUGCAACCUUGUUAACAGGACGUCCAGUAUCACAGAUGGCCAAUACAUGAUGCAUACCACCAACCAAUUCAGCUGGAAGUUGAUAUAAUUGUUUUCCUCGCAAACUACAGCAAGCAUAUGAAUAAACCCAAUCAAUAAAAAACCAUUAAACCUUCCAUAAUUCAUAGAAGUACACAACUCAACCAAUAGAACAUAUAUCUGAAACUCUGGGUUCUGCUGUACAAUUUUCCAUGCAAAUUUUUUAGCACUUACCACAUCGAGACCUGCAAGAAUUCUUGACAUUUUUCCUUUUUUUUUUUUUUUGUUGUUGCACAAAGUUAACAAAGAAAACUUGUUAAACACUUUACUCCAUGCAGUAAAGCUAUGUCAACCAAAGGCAACCCCACUUUCUUGAGGCUUGAAACUUGAAAGUUGAAACAGAACAUAAUCCAUAUAUCAGAAUUUCCUUCCAAAUAAGCUGCAACUUGAAUUGCACAAUGUUGUUUUUUUCACAACAAAAAUAUUACAAUUUUCCAUUAAUCUCCUAAUGGAUAUGGAAAUAUGCAUGUGCAAGCAUGAAAUUUGUCUUAUUUUUACUACUGUGCGAUGUUGUGCAAAUGUUCAGCACAUUCCAUUACCACUGCUCAUUUCUCCUUAUUUCUAACUGAUUUUUUCAUGAAGUAGAACAAAAUAAGUUUCAAACAGCAUCUAAUGUCAAAUUUUGGGGAAUAUGAACAGCAAUUGAAAAAUGAACAUAAUAAUGUAUAUUGACAAGAAUAAUAUGUACAUGUAAUUCAAUGAUAAGAACAUUUGAUAUAAAUAACCAACCACACACUUUUGUCAAGACUCCCCUGUUUGAUGUCAAGUUUUUCAUUUUCUAAAUCCAUAUUUAGAUACAACUAUACACAAGGCCCAUAAAAAAUUGGUGCUAAGAAUUUGGUUUCUUAACCUGAGAUACUGUUUGUAAGAUUUAGAACUAGAGUCUUCCAAUAAAUAAAGAAAAGGCCCAACUAAGCAGAGGUAUCGACGCUGCCAUUCAGCUGCCCUAUUUGCCACGCCCUGUCACAUAAAAAUUAUGAAGCAAAAUCAAAAGCUAAAAAGAAGAAGUAACUCAUUGUCAAAAGGCUCGCCCUGUUUUUCAAUAUUGAACCAGGUUUUCAAAUAACAGUAUCAGCAUCAGUCAAUCUGUUACAGUUUUGCACUCAAUUGCACUUCAUGAACAUUUUUAAAGUUCAUAUCUCAUAAAAAUGAUAUCGAUAUUGAAACAUGGAUUUGAUUUCAUAUGCACUUUACUCAGAUAAUAGCUAAAGGAAAUAGCUCGUCGCUCGUUUAAAUAAAUUCAAUUAUUAAACCUAAAAUUAUGAAGCAUUCAAUUCAUAUGUUCAAAUAACAUCAUCUCUUAUGUAUCUAACAACAUUGAACAUUUCACAGCAAAUAACAAGUAAAAGAAAAUAAUAAGAAUUAAUAAAUAAGACCUCUUGAAGUAUAAAUUAACAAAUUUUGCUGACUUAGAACAAAUUAAAAUUGGCUAAAAUGGCAGAAAAGAGAAGCGCUAUAAAAAAGGAAAGAAAUCACAAAAGGAUCUCUCUCGCAUAAAAAGGAAGAGGCUAUUGUUCCAUGACUGAGACAUCAAUAUGCAUCUCAGUCUAUUUCAGACAUAUUGUUCUAUAUAAACCAAUAAUGAUAGUAUGGCUAUAAAUCCCAAAUCACAGUCCUAUACUCCUAUUAUACCCUGUCCUAUAUUGUCAAUUGCACCUUCAAAUUCCAUGAUGAUCUACCCAAUACGGAUGUACAGCCAAUUUUUGAAAGCCUGCAUUCAAACACCAGGAGAGAGAGAGAGAGAGAGAGAGAGAGAGAGAGAGAGAGAGAGAGAGAGAGAGGAAGGAGAAUAAGAAGAAGAAGAAGAAAAAACCUUUCGAAUAAGAAGAUGCAACCACCCUUCAAAGUCCGCUUGAUCCCAAAAACAAAGAAGACUUGAAUUCUCAGCAUCCUCAUCCUGAAACAUCCUUGCUACCUGCAUCAACCGAUGGUACCGUGCAGGAGAAAAGUGAAACCCUAAUGACGGCAACCGCACAGAUAGUCUUGUGGAAGGAUAGGAUGGGUUUUCUAAUCGAAUCUGCAUAUGACGUGAUGUUAGUUUCUAACUCAAAAGGUAAUCAACUACCACAAUCAUGCAUGUAAUAGAUGAAAACCAUGCACACAACAUAUACAGGUGCAUGUACACAAGCCGACACCAGUAAAAUGUUAUAACCCAAAGUGGAAGCAUCCACAUUUUUACCUGUUGAAGCCUUACAAUUACUCCACACUUAUCAAUAACAGGCAAGAAGCUAACACCAUUUGAUUUGCCAGAAUCAGCAGACUUGCGCAAAGGGGCUUGACUCCAGUUGUAGUCACCAUCAACCAAAAAGGCAGAGAUGUCACUCAAAACCAAAUCAAACUGCAAGUACAUAUUGAGCUCCUCAGAUGGUCUCCUUUUAUUGUCAUCCUGCAUACAUUUGAAAAAUCCAUAUAAAGCAUAACUCUGCAUUCCAAAAUGCCAAGAUCGAGUUCAUUGAUGAAGAUGAACCUGUGAGCGAAUCACCAAAUUUCCCAAGUCUAGCAAAAGUUUUGUUGCAUGGACGUUGUUAGGACGAAAUUCAGUAGGAAUUGUAAUUUUUGGAGCCGCAAUGUCCAAGUCCAACAGAAACCUAAUCAGCAUAUAGAUGCAAAAUGUCAUUUUCUACCAGUUAAAUAUGUCUCCAACACACCCCCACAUGCAAAUGCCACUGGGCUUGAAGCGUGAACAAACACAUGCCCACUUUAUCUUAUGCUAUAUCAAUAAAUGGAGGUAGUGAGAAUUCUAACUGUAGACCUUUUUAGUCUGACAGGCUCUAAUGCCAUGUCAAGGAACCACUUCACCUAAGCUUGUAGGUGAAAGCCCCAGUAAUAGUCAUAUAUCUCCAACAUCAACUAACAUAUUACUAGCCUAGGUAACUGGCAGUAUGCAGCUUUCAAUACAGUCGCAAACAUUUGCACAUAGUUAAUAUUAAAAUUAAAUAAUGCCACAGAACAUAGCUCUAACUCUACAAAUAUUUGCUGAUGGGCUUUUAACAAUCCAUAGGGAAUCUGCUUUGCAACCUUCCACCAAAGUACCAAGUUGCAAGGAAUAUCCAUAAACCUUGUACAAUAAUUUCUCAAGACAUAUUAAUAAACACGAAACAUAAUGGAGAUAUUCAAAACUAUAAGCAUGUAUUUACACGGAAACGAUCACUUUUCAUUCGAUAGAAGAAGAUUAUUAGUGAAGAAAGAAGAGCAAUACAAAUUGGACAACAACACGACCUCCCGUCAAAGAAAGAAGAGAAGUAUGACAAAAGAACAAAACUAAUAAAAUAGCCCGUGUCAACAUCAGCCAAAAGCACUCCUAAAAGAUGACAUAAAGAAAAAACUCAUAAAAGAUCCAAAAGAUAACACCAUAUGAGUUCUACAACUAAAUUUAUACUUUUAUAAAAAUGUCAAAGAACAAUCAUUACAACCCUUUUUCAAAUGGAAAACCAAAACAGAGAUACCAACCUUGCUUGAUCUUUCAAAGCUCUGUUCACUUGUUGUUGAGCAGUGCGCUUGACUCCAUCAAUGGUCAUCUGGUUACCAAAGGAGGAAAAAUGUUGACUUAUUUGCCGAUUUCUAAUUAUAUGAUUUGAUUAAAUUACAAAUUCUAGACAUAAAUUAAGAUCCUUAAUUAUCUUUAUAAUUUUUUUUUAUUAUUUAUUUCCUAUCUAGUUGUAAUUCUUUGUAUAUAGAUAAUCAUGUAAAUCACUUGUAAAGAUUAAGAGUGAAAUAUAAGAAUACUCUAAAAUUCUCCGAAAUUCUUCGUAGUAUCAAAGCUUUUACCUUAUUUUAGAGUUUAAAUUCAAUUUUUUCUCUUUAGGGUUUCUAAAACCCUACAUCUACGAACUUUUUUCGUCUCACCGCCGCCACCAGCAGGGUCGCCGGACUGUCGCCGGCCAAUUGUCCAACUUCGAUGCCAGAAAUCCACACGCGUGAGGCUCACACGCCCUUCCUUCCCAGCGCGUGAGGUUCAAUCCAAAGCUGCUAUGCUGCCCAUACAACCCUGGCACCGUUCCGGCCAUCCCAUGCCGCUACCCGGUUUCUUGGUAAUUUGGUUGGACUCUCUUGUGUAUACAAUCUUGAGUACCUAACUCUGAUAAACCUUCCUUGCAAAUUUAUCAGAAACUGUGGAGGAGCUAUUUAAGGAGACAACAGCUGCUGAGCUCCUUCCCCCUAAUGAAAUUUAGAGACCCAAGUGCUUCAUGUCUCAUAUUGACACCUCUUCCUCCUCUGGUGUCACAUCUAAUUUUGUGAAGUCAGGUAAUGCUUUCUCUCUUGAUACUAUUUUAUGGAUUAUUGAUUAUAGUGCGAAUAGACACAUGACAGACUCUUCUAAAGAUUUUCUCAAUUAUUUUCCUUCUCUAACGAAAAAUAGUGUCAGAAUUGCUAAUGACUCUUUUACUCCCAUAUUCGGAACCGUUCUGUUAUUUGUGCACCCUGUUAAAUUUGGGCCAGGUCUAACUCACACCAAAAGCUAGCUCAAGGGGUAGGAGUGCCUAUAGCCCAUAGAAGGGGCACAUUACCCCUUUUCACAAGCGAUGUGGGAUUCAACACACCCCCUCACGCUCAGAAUUUUAUUGGUGUGUGACAUAUUUAUAGGAGGCCCAACAUCAGAUGGGGAGGCUCUAAUACCAUGUUAAAUUUGGGUUAGGCCUAACUCACCCCAAAAGCUAGCACAAGGGGGAGGAGUGCCUAUAGCCCAUAUAAGGGGCACAUUACCCAUUUCCACAACCGAUGUGGGAUUCAACACACUCAAUAUUAAAUUGUCAUCUGUCCUCCAUACUCCCCAUUCUCCCAUCAACCUUUUAUAUGUCAAUGCCAUCACCAAUGCUCUUAACUGUAAAAUUGAAAUUUUUUUUUUCUAAUUAUUGUGUUAUUCAGAAUCUUUUCACAAGGAAGAGGAUUGGUAAUGGUAGACUACAUGAUAGCUUAACCAUGUUGGAAGGUGAUGUAAGUUCUCCAAUAUCUCAAGCCUGUUUUGGAGAAAAUAAAGAUGCCAAUUAGAAAAUAAUACAGUGACGCAGACGGUUAGGGCAUACAUCGUUCUUUAGAAAAACUUUAUCCUAAUUUGUUUGCUAGAACUCAGUUUGAUUCUUUAUUUUGUGAUGUUUGCGAGUAUACUAAGCACGCUAGAAUCUCCUAUCCUUUGAGUUAUAAAAAGCCAACUUCCUUUUGUGACUAUUCAUUAUGAUGUUUGGGGGCCUACUCAAACUGUCUCUUUAUAUAGUAAUUAAUGGUUUAUCACUUUUAUUAAUUGUUGCACUCGAAUGACUUGUGUAUAUUUGAUUAAAACUAGAAGUGAUGUCUUUUAUUUUUUUCAAACCUUUCACAAAAUAAUUUGUACUCAAUUUGAUACUAAGGUGAAAAUUUUGAGAAUUGACAAUGGAAGAGAAUAUAUGAAUAUUACAUUUUCUGCUUAUUUGGAGUCCAAUUGAUAGUACACCAAAUAAGUUGUCCUUAUACUAGUGCACAAAAUAGAGUUGCUGAAAGCAAAAACAAGCAUCUAUUGAAGAUAGUUCGAUCUCUUAUGUUCACCAUGAACCUAUCCAAAGCAUAUUGAUAGAUGCAGUCCUUGUAUCUUCUUAUCUUAUCAAUCGUAUGCCCCUUAAAGCCCUAGACUUUGUUAGUCCUUUGGAGGUUCUACAAGGACGGAAUUCAUACAUUGUUUCACCAAAAGUAUUUGCGUAUGUUUGCCUUGUGCAUACUAAAACAGUAGGAAAGUUGGACCCCAAGCCCUUAAAUGUGUGUUUGUUGAGUAUUUUCCGACACUUAAAGGAUACACAUAUUAUCAUCCUCCAUCUAGGAAAUACUUUGUCAGUAUGGAUGUUGAAACUGAACUCCACUUUAGUAACACCGACUCACCUCUUCAAGAGGAGAAUAAUGAGAAAGAAGCGAUGAUCUCGAAUUUUGUGAUUCUGAAUGAUAUGGUUCAAAGGCAAAGUUCUAGCAGACAGAGGGAGACGUCUGAUUCUGAAUGAUAUGGUUUAGAGGCAAAGUUCUAGCAGACAGGGGGAGACAUCUAAUCAGAGGAGAGAAUAGGACAUUUGGACAAGCCAAAUUUGAGGAGGUAUUCGAAGAGAGAGAAGACAGAAGAAGCAAUGAUGCCAGCCUAUUUGGAGUCAAGAAUUUUCUUUUGGCGAGUUACCCUCAAAUCUUGAAUGCUCCAAUAAUUUAGAUAAACCUAUUGUACAAAUAAAAGGUGUCAGCUCUUGUACCAAAUACCCUAUUUCUAACUUUAUUUCUUAUGAAUCUUUGUCUCUCUACUAUAGAGUCUUUGCCUUGUCUAUUUCCUCUGUGUCUAUUCCACGGAAAUGGAAGGAAGCUCUCGCAGAUCUUAAAUGGAAGGGAGCAAUUAUUAAAGUGAUGAAAGCACUAGCAAAAAAUGAGACAUGAGAGCUUGUCUUUCUCCCACCUGGGAAGAGACUUAUUGGCUGUAAGUAGGUACUCACAGUGAAACACAAAGUUGAUGGUACAAUUCAACAGUAUAAAGCCAGAUUGGUUGCUAAAGACUUCACCCAAAUCUAUGGAGUGGAUCAUCAAGAGACAUUUGUCCCAGUUGCAAAAAUAAACUCAAUCAAUCAGAGUGUUGUUAUCUUGUGCAACCAAUUUGGACUGAGACUUACAUCAAACGAAUAAUACAUUCCUCCAUGGAGAUUUAGAGGAAGAGGUGUUCAUUGAGAUUCCUCUUGGGUUUGCUGAUGAGAAGACACAAAGAAAGUUGUGCAAAUUAAAAAAGGCUUUGUAUGGGCUAAAACAAUAUCCCAGAGCUUAGUUUGAUAAGUUUAACAGAGCCAUGAUAUCCUUUGAUUACCAACAGAGCAAUGCUAAUCAUACUCUGUUUAUUAAACAUCACAAGGGUAAUAUCACACUUCUUAUUGUGUAUAUUGAUGAUAUAGUGGUGACAGGUGAUGACAAAAAGAAAAUGGCUUAGCUAAAAAGGUUGUUGGCUCAAGAAUUUGAAAUCAAAGAUCUAGAAAAGUUUCAAUAUUUCCUAGGUAUUGAGGUGGCCAGAUUAGAAAAAGGGAUCUUUAUCUCCCAAAGAAAGUACAUUUUGAAUCUUUUGAAAAAAACUGAUAUAUUGGGGUGUAAACCAACAGAAUCUCCCAUUGAAAGUAAUCACAAGAUGCAAGCAAGAGCUAGUGAGUCUGUGGAUAUUGGAAGCCGGAAAAUGUUCCCAAAAUGGCAUUUCGGAUCCACUUUAGACACUAUGAAUUCCCUGUGAUGCCUUUUGGUCUCACCAACGCCCUAAAAAUGUUCCAAGCAACCAUGAAUGACAUAUUUUGGCCUUCACUCCACCGUUUUGUGUUAGUCUUCUUUGACCACAUACACGUUUAUAGUCGCUUAUAGGAUGAUCACGUGUCCUAUAUGGAUCAAGUUCUUCGACUGUUAUCAUCUAAUCACUUGGUAGCCAACAUGAAGAAAUGCUCAUUUAGAAAGAGGUCUCUCUCUUUCUUAGGACUUUUAAUAUAUGUCGGAGGUGUGUCAAUGGAUCUGGAUAAAAUUGAGCAGUGCUACAGUGACCUGUUCCUAACUUAGGAAAAGAUGCAAGGGGUUUGUUAGGGCCCAUAGGAAAUUAUCGCCAAUUCAUUCAACAUUAUGGUGAAAUUGCACAGCCCCUAACUCAUCUAACAAAUAAGGUAUCCACAAUAUUUUGUUUAGGAUUCUGCUGCGCAAGAAGCAUUUGAAAAGUUGAAGGCUACAAUUGACCAACUCUAGUAUUAUUGAUGCCUGAUUUUCACCAAUCAUUCUAUUGACCAAUAUAGAAUGUUCCUAGUUAGGAGGAUUCAGAUAUUUGAAAUCCUAAUUAGGCUUAAUUAUAGGCUAGAUUAUAGAGAUUUUAUUCUUAUUGUAAAUAUUCUUAAUUUAGAUUGAUUCUUUGUGUAUAAAUACUCAAACCUUGUAAAGAUCAAUUCAAUUGGAAUAGAAUUAAAAAUUCCUCCUAAAAUUCUUCAUGGUAUCAAAGUAUUGCCACUUUAAUUGGCAUAGGUUUCAAAUAUGUCACAAAAAGUUAAGGUUAACUAAUAGGUCAAGCUUCUAGGUGACUAUAUCAAGGGAGUUGUUCGACACCCCCUGUACCGGAAGAAAGCCCAUCAAAUUUGCAGCCGAUACCCCGCGAUGUGACCCUGCUCUGAGCACAUGCGUGUCCUCACACGAUGCCACAGCAUUUCGCGUCUCCUUCCAUGCGCCGGCGUGUGAGCCUUUCUCCGGCGUUCUUUUCUUUCAGCGCUCCUUUCCGGCCCUCUUUCAAGAAUGUCGUGUCUCCGACCGGCCAUUUUCCAUGACUGGAUUCUCCUUUGGAUUUUUCAAGGUGUGUUAACGGUAACUUGAUCAUUACUGCCUCUUUGUGUUACUGGCCCCUUUUACCUUUAAAAUGUCAUAUAAGAAAGGCACUAAUGGAGGUGAAGUAUGUUUUUUGAUACUCCUCCAUAAAUUAUUAAUUCUGGUACAAAUAGACGCAUGACAGGUUCCUCUAAAAGCUUCCUUAAUUACCUUCUGUAUCUACAAAAGGACACAGUUAGAAUAGCCUAUGGUUCUUUUAUUCCUAUCUUCGAAAUCGGAUCAAUUGUUUGUACUUCUAAUAUUAAGCUAUCAUCUAUUCUCCAUGUUCAUCAUUUUCCUGUUAAUCUUUUAUCUGUUAGUACUCUUACCAAAACUCUUAACUGUAGAAUUGAAUUUUUUUCCCUACUAUUGUGUUAUUCAAGACCUUCAAACUAAGAAGAGGAUUAGCUAUGGUAGACUACAGGAUGACAUAUAUGUUGGAAGGAAAUCUGAGUUUGAAAUCACCUCGGGCACUUUUUGAAAGAAAUCAAGUUGUCAACCAGGAAAUCAUAUAGUGGCAUCGACGGUUAGGACAUCCAUCCUUUUUUAUUUUAGAGAAACUUUAUCCUGAUUUAUUUUUCAAGGCUCCAUGUGGUUCUUUAGUUUAGUUUGUGAUACUUGUGAGUAUGCUAAGCAUACAAUAAUCUCGUAUUCCUACAACAACAAUAGAAAUAUGAUCCCUUUUGUGAUCAUCUAUUAUGAUGUUUGGAGACUUACUCAAACGAUCUCAUUAUCUGGUAAUUGUUGAUUUAUUACUUUUAUUGAUUACUGCUCUUGCAUGACUUGGGUUUAUUUGAUAAAGGCAAAAAGAGAUAUGGUUUCUUGCUUUCAAUUUUUUCACAAGAUGAUUUGUACUCAAUUUGAUGCUAAGAUAAAAGUUAUGAGGACUGAUAAUAGUACAGAGUACAUAGAUGGCCAUUUUUCAACUUAUCUGGAGUCUAAUGGGAUGUUGCAUCAAACUAGUAGUCCUUACUCUAGUUAAUAGAAUAAGAAUGGCUCAUCAUGAACCUUCCAAAAACCUAUUAGGAGAUUUGGUCUUAGCCGCAAUUUAUCUCAUUAAUAGAAUGGCUCUCAAAGCUCGUCUUUAAGAGCCUUAGGUGCUAUAAGGGAAAAAUGCUUGUAUUGUUCCACCAAAGAUAUUUGGAUGCACAUAUUUUGUUCAUACUAAGACAAGUAGGAAGCUCAAUUCGAGAGUUCUUAAAUGUGUGUUUGUUGGGUACUCUCCCACACAUCAAGUUACAAGUGUUAUCACCCUCCAUCUAGAAAAUAUUUUGUCACUAUGGAUGUUACAUAUAGAGAGUCUGAACCUUACUUUAGUACUACCCCAUCACCUUAGGGAAAGAACAAUGAGAGAGAAGAGAUGAUUCCUAGUCUUAUAACUCUAGAGGAGACUACUAUACAGAAGGAGACUAUUGGUGAUCAGGAAAAGAUAAUUAGGCAUUUAAAUAAACCAGAUUUAAAGAGAUACUCAAGAAGAGACACAACAAAAGCAGAAAAAGAUAUUGUGCAGCCUACUUAGUGUCAUGAAUCUUCCUCUUCUCCAUCGAGUGAGUCAUCCCUAAAUCUUAAGCCCAUUAAUGAUCUAAAUAAACUAAUUGUCCAAAAAAAAAGGAGUUAGGUAUUGCACAAAGCACUCUAUUUCUAGCUUUCUCUCUUAUGAUUCUUUGUCUCCAUCCUAUAGAACCUUUGCCUUGUCUAUUUUCUCUGUGUUUAUCCCAUAGGGUUAGAAGGAAGCUCUUAAAGAUUUUAAUUGGAAGGGAGCAAUGAUUGAAGAAAUAAAAAUCUUAACUAAAAAUGAGACCUGAGAAUUUAUGUCUCUUCCACUUGGAAAAAAACCAGUUAGCUGCAAAUGGGUGUUCAGUGUGAAACACAAAGCGGAUGGAUCAAUUGAAAAAUUUAAGGUCAAAUUAGUUGCCAAGGGAUACACCCAAACUUAUGGAGUAGAUUACUAGACAUUUGCCCCUGUUGUCAAAAUGAACUAUAUCAGAAUAUUGCUAUCUUACCUACCAAUCUUGACUAGGACUUACAACAAUUUGAUAUGAAAAAUGCAUUUCUCCACGGAGACUUAAAGGAGGAAUUGUAUAUGGAAAUCCCUCCUAGAUUUGCUUAUGAAAAAAUAUAAGAAAAACUGUGCAGAUUUAAAAAAGGCUUUGUGUGGACUGAAGCAGUCACCCAGAGCUUGGUUUGAUCGAUUUAGCAAAUCUAUGAUUUCCUUUAGCUAUCAACAGAGCAAUACUGACCAUACUCUAUUUAUCACACAUCACAAGGGUAAAAUUAUUGUUUUCAUAGUCUAUGUUGAUGAUAUAGUAAUGACAAGAAAUGACACUAAAGAGAGGGCUCAGCUGAAAAAGCUUUUGGGUCGGGAGUUUAAAAUUAAAAAUUUACGAAAACUUUAAUAUUUCAUGGAAAUCAAGGUUGCCAUAUCAAAAAAGAAAAUCUUUAUUUCUUAGAGAAAAUACAUUCUAAAUCUUUUGGAAGAAACUAGUAUGUUAGGCUGCAAACCAGCAGAAACUCCCAUUGAGAGCAAUCACAAGCUACAAGCAAUGAUUGGUGAAUCAGUGGAUAUUGGCAAAUACCAAAGGUUGGUAGGCAUACUAAUUUAUCUUUCGCAUAUUCGACCAGACAUAACAUAUACACUCAGCUUAGUCGGUUUAUGCAUGAUUCUCGUGAGUCCCAUAUGCAAGUUGUUUUUUUGCAUUUUGCGAUGCUUGAAGUCUGCUCCUGAAAAGGUCUCCUAUUCUCUAAACAUAGUCAUCUCCGUGUAUCUAUAUAUUCACAGAUGCAUAUUGGACUGCAUCUCUUAAUGAUAAAAGGUCGACUAGUAGUGGUUACUGCACACUUGUGGGAGGAAACCUUGUCACUUGGAAAAACAAAAAGCAAAGUGUUGCUUGAUCAAGUGCUGAGGCGGAAUAUAAAGCAAUGGCACAAAGUGUUUAUGAACUUUUAUGGUUGUAGAGAUUGUUGGAGAAAUAUUGAAACUGUUGGAGAGGGACAAACUCCUCUUUUAAUGCGACAACAAAGCUGCCUAUUGUUUCUAAGCCUGGUCUUAAAUAUUUUAUCACUUUUGUUGAUGAUUACUCUCGUGUUACCUGGUUGUAUUUGAUGAAGAAUCGUUCAGAAUUGUUUUCCAUCUUUUGAGCCUUUUGUUCUCAAAUUAAAACUCAGUUCAAUGUUCCUGUGUGGCUAUUAUGCAGUGACAAUGCCAAAGAAUAUUUUUCAAAGAACUUUCAAACCUUCAUGAACCCAAAAUAGAAUGUUUCAUUAGUCUUCUUGUAUCGAUAAACUAUCUCAAAAUGGUGAUACCGAAAGAAAAAACGGCAUCUUAAUUAAGGAAUAAUUAGAGGGUAUCAACUAUCUAGUGUUUUAUCUUGUAAUUGGGAGCUGGAACUUUUCCUGCUCGAGGGAGAAUUAUCUCCUGAACUUGUUUGGCUGUUUAUCCUUUUUAACACAACUCCUCCUUCCUUCUUGUUGGUUCUUGUGUGAUAUUACUGGUAAAAUUCCUUUUCUCUAACAGUACUCAUGUCUCCAAUUAUUAUAAGCAUGCUUACAUGAGAUUCCUUUAAACAAUCAAAUUUCCUUCCUGAACUAUAACCCAUGUUUGCUCAAGAGUGUUGACCAGCUUGAAAGCUCCUACUAACUAACAUUUUUUGCACCUUCCAAAACAAUAACCUACUUGAGUGCAGCAACAAUAAAAUAAUUUCUAGAAGGCUUGCCUAGUAAUCCAAGCUAACUUUUUAUUUAUAAUACAGAGAUCAUGUACAAAUAGAAGAAUACCUGCACAGCAGCAGCUGUUUCCAGUGCAAUAGUUUGACUGACAGAAUGGUUGCUCUCAAAAAAUUUGAUAAUCUCAUGAAUGGCAUCCUUCAAGUACUGGUCAAUAACAUUAAUCAGUAAACAAACACAACAAAAGUGUAAGCUUAUCAUCUUAUGAGAAAUAGAGAGUAGCAGCAUACGGUCAUGUAACAUGGAGAAGCUUUGACAACCAUGCUCCAGUCCACCUUAGCAUCAAAAGGCUUAUAACAGAAGGCACCAAUUAGAGAGUCCAAAGCAGUUGCACUCUGCAGGGAGAAGGGCCAAAUGAUUUUGGGUAACAUACUAAUGUCAAGGAACAAAUAAUUAGCUUUUAUGGCUUUGUAACAAGGAGGACCCCAACCUGGGCGAGAAGACCGUUUGGUGAUGAUAACUGAUAGGACCCCAGUUUCAUGUCAAAAACCUUUGUUUCUGGGUAAAGCUUAAUGGAGCAAUCAAAACCAUCACAAGAUAAUUCAGCAAGACACUUGUGGUCCUCAACAAGCUUUGAAGCAUUAUGUUGCAUGUGAACCUCCAAAUAAGUAUGAAGAGCAUCCAUCUUCUCAUUGAAUAUUACUGACUGCCCAUCAUCACCUUCCUUAUAACCUAUCAGUUUGUUAAGUUGAUCCCAGUCCUCAUCACUGAAACGAAAUUGUUCGCUUUCAUCUUUGAAAGAUUGACUGCUCCUGAAAAAGUAGACAGAGACAGAAAAUAUUACAAAUUUUACCGCAUUGCCAAUUAAAUAAAGAUCAGCUUCAAAGGAUUUUCUCAAGGAAAAGAAUAUAUAUCACCAUCCAAAUGACCACCAUGAUUUCUUUGCUUUCUGUUUCAUCGAGUCAAGUUCUGAUUCCAUUGACCGCUCCACAAACUUGUGAGCCAACAUCCUGCACAAUAUCAGGAAUCAGGAUAGCAUAAAAAUAGUCCAAUGCCAAAAAAACAAAAAACAAAAAAAACAAAAAAGAAGAGAUCUGCAGACCUAUCAUGAACAGUUGACCAUAUAACUCAUAGUAUAGGAACCAUAAGUACAUAUAGAUGCAAGCACGCACAUAUAUGGGAAUUUCAAGGCAAGGGAUAAAGUGAUGGAAUCAAACAACAGUCGUAUAACAGGAUUUUUGGGGGGGGCAUUUCCCAUGACACUGUUAUUUAAAGGCUGCCUAACAACUGUAGGUGUAACUGUAAUGGUUGUUAUGGCCUUUACAUGUAAUUCACUUUCACCCCCUUAAAAUCACAUGCCAAACAGAAGUGUUCUGCAUUCCUACGACCUCCAACAGUUUUACAGCUCUUUUUUUCAGGAUAUCUCUUUCUUUUCACUCAAAUAACACAUUCUUCCUGCAUCUUUCUCCCCAUACGCUAAGAUUUAUCAUAAACUACCUCCAUUUCAUAGUUCUUUCUUCUAAAAGUGAGUUUAUUUUUCCCUUUUUUGCUUUUAUUUUUUAUUAUUUGCUGUCUUUUGCUUUUUUUGUUGAUUAAAAUUCAUGUUGAUGUCAGAUAGAAAUGAAAGAAAAUUUAAUGAUGUUUAAGUUAUAUAGUCUUUAUUGGAUGUAUGUAUGCAUUAUUAGUCAUGUAUGCCUAUUAUAUAGUCAUGUACAUUACUUUAUUUUUCCCUUUUUCGCUUUUAUUUUUUAUUAUUUGCUGUCUUUUGCUUUUUUUGUUGAUUAAAAUUCAUGUUGAUGUCAGAUAGAAAUGAAAGAAAAUUUAAUGAUGUUUAAGUUAUAUAGUCUUUAUUGGAUGUAUGUAUCCAUUAUUAGUCAUGUAUGCCUAUUAUAUAGUCAUGUACAUUACUUUAUUUUUCCCUAAUUUAAUGAUGUUUAAGUUAUAUAGUCUUUAUUGGAUGUAUGUAUUCAUUAUUCGUCAUGUAUGCCUAUUAUAUAGUCAUGUACAUUACUCUUAUCAAAUCAAUUCAUUUCAUGAACUUUGCAAAUUGUUUUGAAAAAUUUGGGUAGCAGCAGGCAUUGCCUUUAUGUUACAGCUGGCAUAGGCCUGUUUCCAUAGACGCAUUUAAAACAAUGCGAGUCUCUAGAGGCCUAUGCAUGUAUAUUUGUCAUUUCCUCUUGGCUGUAACAGAUUUUCUCCUACCAUAAAAGAACCUUAUACAGAAAUUAGGUUAAUGAUUUUGGAAGUAUACUAUUCACAGUAUCUGAUAAUUUAUAAUUUCACUGGAAUGAACUCAGCUGGAGUCUCUAGAGUCUUAGUUUUGUGUAUUAAAGAACCUUAGUAAUUCUAGCAGUUAGUUUUAGCUGUUUAUUUGGAACCCAAGUCCUUCUAAGGAUCAAGAUUAGGGAUUCAAGUAUUUGUUGUACAGGAUUACUUCCAGUCCAGAAAUUAUUAAGCUUAAUGCUUUUUGAAGUUUUACGGUGAAUAAAAUUCACGCAAUUUAUGCUUUUGUUUCUGAGUUCCGUGAUGCAAUUCUAAUCCCAGAAAGUGUGAUGCUUUCUUAAUUGGAGUGGGUUCAAGAUUCAACCAGUGUGAGGCUAGUAGUAGUUUUUUGUUUGCCCUUUCUUCUGUUUUCUGCAAAAAUCAGAUCUGCCACCAGUCUUCUAAUCCUUUUUUGAGUUCUAUAAACUUUAAAUAUAAACCAGUCUUUCAAUCCUUUUUUUGAGUUCUCCAAACCUCAAAUCUAAUUUUCAAACACAAAAGUUUUCCCUAGUCAUCGUAAAACAAGUUAUUUCAUAAAUUAAAGGAAAAAUAACUCAGAGCACAAAAUUAACUCUGGCUAAAAGUUCAACAACAAAUAACAGUAAAUAAAAUAAAAUAAUAAUAGACACUGAACUGGUAAGUGUCCGAAAAAAUGUGCAUCACUUCUAGCUCCGACAGAUAACCACUAUACGCCUUGGACAGGAAUAUUCAGAAGCUAGUAUCUUAAAUAAUAUUUGCACAAGUGAAACUAGCAAAGUGCGUGCACAUACAUGCAUAUGAGAGCAAAAGUUUUCCAUGUUUGUCCCAGUAAAACAGUGCAGUUUAUAUAACAGAGCUUUUCUCUUUCCCUUUCCACAUUAUCAGAAUCUUAAAUAAUACUCCUGCAACUUCCACUUCCGCUGAACAAUUUUACUCGUCCACUUGCUUAACAAUGAGCAUGCACUACACAAAAUGACAAUAAUAAUAUAUCUUGCACACUUGUCAAUACCUCCACUGUAGUAUGAGUUCAAUGUCAAGUUCACGGUCCAGCUCCUCAAUUUCUUUGUUGUCAUCUAUUAUUGCCCGCUUUGGGUCAGACUUCAGCAGAGAAGCAUAUAGAGAGAUAUAUCUCUUACGUAAACUUGCAUAUCUUAGUACCUGCUCCCAGGAUAACUUCCCACUGCCACAAAUAUCAUUUCCUUAGCAACAGAAGCAAAUCAAAACCUAAAACAAGUUAUGUGGGGAAAAAAUAAAAUACAAGUACUACAAUCCCAGAACCAAUUGCAACCACCCAACCUAAAACAGAAAGUAAUAAGCCAUUGCCAAAAAUUAUCUUGAGAAAUAAAGACAAAUAGCAUUUUCUUUUUUCUUUUAUUUUUCUUUUGUGGCUUCAGCAACUUCCAUUCACACUGAAGCAGAUUGUUCAUAAACAAAGCAUCAUAAACAUUCAGGGAUUACACUUAUUUAUGCAGGGAAUAACAUUCAGGGAAUAUGAAUGGAUUUAUACUCCCUGUUUUGAGUAACAUUUCAAAGAUCAUGUACCGGAUCUGAGCACUUUUGCAUUUCAGUUUACCUCUAUAAGAAAUGGACUAGUCUAACUCAACCUUAAAAGCUAGUUCAAGCAGGAAGGAUUGCCCAAGUCUUUAUAUUUAUCUCAAUUUAUUUAUCCCAAACUGAUGUUGAACAACACAUCCCCUCAUGUCUAGACAUGAACAUUUAAAGUGUGAAGUUUACAAGAACGAACAUCUGCAAGUGGUCUAACAACAAAUCAAGAGUAGACAUUAAUAUCAUGUAGAGAAAUUAAUUUAGUGAGCCUAACCCAAUCCCAAAAACUAGUCAAAGGGAAGACUGCCCAAGUCUUUAUAUUUAGCACAAUUUCCUUAUCCCAAACCUAUUGGGAACAACAACCUCCAUGCGCUUUAAAUAAAUUUUUUAUUUUUGUCAAAAACAUGAAUGCAUGUUGUUAUAGGUUAUAGGAAGUAAAUUUUGAUAGAUAUAUCAGUUGUUUAAUCUUAGGGAGUGUAUGAUCAUAGACUUGAUUUUCCUUUUUGUUUAGUUACUGACUCUCAUGUAUAAAUAAGUUAAAAAUUUUGUAAUAUUGUAAUAUACAACAACAACAAAUAUUAUCUUUCUACAUGAUAUCAGAGCUUCACCCAUAAAGAUUUAAAAAUUUUUUGGAGACUUAGGACUCUAUUCAUUUGGGUUACCCAUAUAGAGUAACAUUUGGAUCUCACAGCCCCCCUGGGAAGGACGCCGAAGCGCCGGCGAAGCUUCCCUAAAGAGCCGACGGGCGUUCGGCUAGCGAGUGGGCCUCACGCGCCGGCGUGUGAAGGCGCAUCCCUGCUCCGUCGCUGCUCCGGUCACCAUUGACAGAGUCGCCACAACGUCCCCUUGUCAGACAUAGUUUGGCAGGUCCAAUGAGGUAGUCCAACAGUAUGGAAUGAAGACGAGUAAGUGUGAUCACUCAAUGUUUUAUAGAAAUUCUGAUAGUGGAGUAAUUCUGCUUGUAGUAUAUGUGGAUGAUAUCGUUAUCACAGGAAGUGACGUUGCUAGUAUCACAUCCCUAAAAGAAUUUCUUAAAACACAGUUUCAUACAAAGGAUUUGGGCUCCUUGAAAUAUUUCUUGAGAAUCGAAGUUAUGCGGUAUAAGAAAGGCAUCUUCUUAUCUUAAAGAAAAUAUGUCCUUGAUUUAUUGGCAGAAACAGGAAAAUUGGGUGCUAAGCCUUGUAGUGCUCCAAUGUCCCCUAACCUUCAACUUACCACAAAAGACAUUGAGUCAUUUGCAAAUCCUGAAAGGUACAGAAAAUUAGUUGGCAAGCUGAAUUCUUUGUUACCUUAAAGGGCCCCAGGGUAAGGUCUAUUCUAUAGUAACCAUGGGCACUCAAAUAUUAAAUGUUUUUCUGAUGCUAAUUAGGCAGGUUCGAAGGUUGAUAGGAAGUCAACUACUGGAUAUUGUAUUUUUGUGGGAGGUAACCUGGUCUCAUGGAAAAGUAAGAAGUAAAAUGUGGUCUCCCGUUCUAGUGCCGAAUCCGAAUAUCGAGCCAUGGCACAAGCCGUUUGUGAAGUCUUGUGAGUACGUCAACUAUUGGAAGAAGUUGGCUUCACAAAUUCGGUGCCUGCUAAGUUGUGGUGUGAUAAUCAAGCAACUAUCCACAUUGCCUCCAAUCCAGUAUUUCAUGAUAGGACUAAACACAUUGAGAUUGAUUGUCAUUUUGUUCGUGAGAAGGUCCAACAAAAGAUAAUAUCAACAGGAUAUAUCCAAAUUGGAGAAACAACUAGAAAAUAUCUUCACUAAAGCUCUAAAUGGGACUUGAGUAGAUUAUAUAUGUAAUAAGUUGGGCAUAAUUAACAUCUAUACUCCAACUUGAGGGAGAGUGUUAUAGGUUAUAGGAAGUAAAUAUUGAUAGAUGUGUCAGUUGCUUAAUCUUAGAGAUUGUAUGAUCAUAGACUUGAUUUUCCUUCCUGUUUAGAUACAGUCUUUCAUGUAUAAAUAGGUUGUAAUCUCUAUUGUAAUAUACAACAACAAAUAUUAUCUUUCUAUACAUGUUAACCAAACAGUCCAAAACUGAGCAAAUAAAACACAGCAAACUGAGUGACAAAACUCAUACACACAGAGUCAGACACAUCUCUAAAUAAUACUGAUGAACACAUUGAGUCAUGGACACAAGUCUCCGGACAAAUAUCAGCAUACACAUCUAACUGCAACUAAAUCAAGACAAAGAUAAGGUAGCUGCGCCUUAAAUAAAUUUUGUGCGAAGAAGAAUAUAAUUGAGAAGCACUUUUUUUUUGUUGCAAUAUCCAAAGCUUAUACAUAUACCACCAAUAAGCGAACCUGAUAAUUCAUGUCAACUGUCAAGUGAUUUCUAGGAUAUCUUCCUUGCAACCAGGGGUGACCAGUAUUCAGUUCAAACCGAAAAAAUCGACCGAACCGAAUUAAUUUGAAAAUUCAGUUCGGUUUUUUAUUUAUUUCGGUUUAGUUUAAUUUUUAAUUUUAAAAUUUUCGAUUAUUUCAGUUCGGUUCGGUUUUGAUCUGAAAAAAUUGAAAAAACCAAACCGAACCGAUUAGUGAUAAUAAUAUAUUAUUUUCAAUAAUUUAGAGAGAUUAGAUCAUAUUAAGGUUAAAAUAGUUCAAUUAAAUUUUAAAAUACUAAAAAUAAAGUAUAAAAAAUAAAAAAUUUAUUAAAAAUUUAAACCUAUCAAACCCAACCGAAUCGAACCGGUUCGGUUCGAUUCGGUUUCUGACCAAAAUCGAUUCGGUUUUUAUAAAUAUUAAAAUUUUGGUUUUUGAUUUAUUCGGUUCGGAUCGGUUUUGAACCGAACCGACCGAAUGCUCACCCCUACACCAUCCACCCACAAAAAAUAAGAAGAGAACAGGUCAACACAAUUAUUUUCUCCAAGCCAUGGCUUCUGUUUCUUUAGUAUCAUCCAAACUCCAAAGCUUAUCCAAAAACAGGCACAUAAAGGCAAACUCCAUAACUCACCCCAGUGAUUUCUAGGGCAUCAACCUCCAGUACCAUUCACCCACCACAAAUAAGAAGAAAACAAUCCAACACCAUUUUUUUAUAACCAAAAUCAUCAUCUGUGAGUACUAUGAAUAAGCUUAAGUUUAACUUUUUAAUUUCAUUGCCAUGCAACGGGAUGCAAUAAGGGCUUGGUGUCAUUAUGUUAAUAAAGAGUGGGUCGGAGGAAUUUUAACGAGGUCCACCACAUAAACUAGACUUCCUAGUAUCAUAUUUAUUCAGAUAUAAAAAGUUAUAAGAAUGUAUGAUAAAGCUUUUAUCUUAUCAUUAGCAACGCAUCAAAAACCAGCGUCAAAAAAUUGCAUGAUACUUUCAAAUAUCAUGUUACUAAGUAGAAGGCUAAAGAAUAGUUCAUCGCAUAACCCAAUUUAUGUUGUUAGUUAAUCAUUUUCUCAAAAAACCUCACUUUAAACCUACUCUGCAAUACUGAGCAAAAGAUAGGAUUAAUAAUUUAGGAGGUUAAUGUGGUCUAAAAACAAAAGCUCCUAAUCUGAUGCCAUGUUAAACAAUCACCUAAAUCCAAACGUAUAAGUUGCCAAAUUGCAGGAACAUUACUUAUUAUUCAUGAUAUUCAUACACACUGCAUAUAACAAUUUUCCAUAUCACUUUCAUCCAUAAAAAUACUCCAGUGAUUUUUUAACCGCAUGCACAUGAUGAAACUUGUACUAUAGAACAAAACAACUCAUGCUUUGCUCUCAAACAAGUAGGAAGAGAAGAUUUCCACCAUCUGACAUCAUAUGCAAAACCUCAGUGACUAUCCCAAGAAAGGUCACCUAAAUUUGUCACAUAUCUAUACCUAUUUUCGCAGUGUCAAAGCAAGAAUCAAAAUCUUCAUAUUGUGAAUCUGGAAUCAAAACUGAAUCAUAAGAUUCUAUAAAAGUUCUCAAAAGUAAUUAAAAUAAUUUAUAUUCUAAAAAAUAAUUAAAAAAUCAUAACAACAUGUUUUGAUAAAUGUAAAAAUAUCAAUACGCUAAUUAGACUAUGUUUUAUAAUAGAACAGUAUAUUCUUGUCAUGUUAAAUGGCUUUAUUGUUAUACAUUAUGAAAUUUUGGAUUGUAGAUGUUGAUUAUCAUUUUACAUAUGCAGAAACUCCCACUUAACUAUGAUCAAAUAAUUAAAUAAUAACAGAAAAAGAAUAGCAGGACACAUUAAACCACCAGCAAAUAUUAAUAAAAAUAUCAAAAUUUGACAAAUAUAACUAACAAAGAAAAUUCACAAAAAAAAGGAAAAAAAAAAGGGGGAUAGAGAAAAGAUUCGCACCAAUGGAAGAAAAAUAGCCAAGGGAAAGUUUAUAUUCACUUUUAAUAGCAAAAAAGAAACGAAAUACUAAAAUUAUAAAGCUAUAAAGUCCAACAAUCUUCUAGAGAAGAACUGACAGAAUCAGGUGAAGAAUCAACCUCACCUAUUAACUAUCAAUUUUUUUGAUUUAGUCACAAUUCAGGAACAUUUUUUAUUUACUCUAGAUCCAAAUCACUAGAAUGGGGAAUCAAAUCAACAACCAUACAAUUUGACUCAAAAAUCGUAAGAUUCAGGCAUAUUUAAGAUUUCCCCCACAAAUUUGAAUUGCUACGGUGAAGAAUUGAAUCAGAAGACUGUAACUAAUAAUAGUGCCUAUGUCUGCUGCAAUAACUUCUAGUGAUUUCAAUAUUUUUAUUCAGAAAGAAAAGAAUUACUAUUUCAAUACCUUGCCUUCUUCAAUUGGUCAGAGACAACUCUGUAUGCAUAAUUCCACCACAACCGUGUAUUAUAUUUUACUGGCACCAAAGGACGAUAAUGAGCAUAUUUUAAGCGUUGAUUAAAUGCAGCAAAAUUGUCAGCUAAUUUUAAAAUAUCCCUGUAUCCAUCCUGCAAAACAAAGAGAUAACUUAAUGAAAAACCUCAUGAUCCUACUGCUCUCAGAGCAAAAGCAAACAUGAUGCAGAAGACCAGUGAAGACCUUUGACAAACAGAGUGUCACAUCAUCCAAGUUCACUUCUGCUUUCUGGAGAGGCUGGCCUCCAUUAACAGAUUCAUUCGACCUCAACUUUGAGUACUUAGCAUUUCCAGUCACUGGUUGCAGAAUGUAUGAGUGCUUUUUCAUUAUAGAAUCUGACGGUUUACCAUCUUUUGUACCAAACCUAAAAACCUGAAGUUCCAUGGAAACUUGAAAAUAAAUAUCAUUUACGGAGCCAAGAUAAACAUAAAGCAAAACCAAAUAGUUCCUAAAACUAAUGUAACAAAAAUACUGAAAAUAUGAUACCUGAACCCACUCAGAAGGACGCAAGUUCUCCCAUGGUUUGCUAAUAUACCAUGGUGAUAUAUCAGAAUCCAGAUAAAUAGCAAGUUGAUCAAGUUCAACAGACUGAAAAAGAGCAGAACACAGAAAAUUACCCAAAACAGUGGUAACACACAAUCCAACACUGAAAUCAUUAAUCCAGUGUAAGGGGACAGUGACAAAGAAAACCUUGAUGCUAUUUCCAGGACAAGAUUCAUCCCACAAGCAAGCACAGAUCCUCUAAAGUUUAAAGUAUUAAGAACACUGAACACAGUAAGUUGCAAUCGCUAUCAGCCCUCAUCUAAACAUUUUGCAACAUGAAGAAUUUUAGAGUAUUUUUGUAUUUUCCUCUUAAUCUUUACAAGUGAUUUAUAUGACUAUUUACAUACAAAGAAUUAUGACUAAAAAAAAAAAAGCAAAUAAUUAAAUAAUUACAAAAAUAAUUAAGGAUCUUAAUUUAGGCCUAGAAUCAAUAAUCAAAUUAAAUUAUAUCAGUAGAAAUCAGCAAAUAAGUCAACACUCCUCCUCAAGUUGGUGAACAGAAUCAAAUUAUAAUAGGUUCUAUUAUUGAGCCAUUUAGUAAAUACAUCCGCAAACUGCUCAAGACACAGUCUAUUAUUUUUUCUUCAAUGAAGUGUUGAUCGAUCACAAUGUUCUUCAUUCGGUGAUAUUGAACUGGAUUUUGUUCUAUACUUAUGGCAGCUUUGUUGUCACAAUACAAAAUUAUCUUGUCUCUCUCGAGUAAUCUCAGCUCUUCCAAUAACUUUUGCAACAACAAAAGUUUACACACGCCUUGAGCCACUACUAUGCAUUCUGCUUCACCACUUUACCGAGCAACACUUCUUUAUUUUUUGGCCCUCCAGCUGACAAAAUUCCCUUCCACAACCGUGCAGUAUGCAGAGAUUGAUCUCCUAUCAUUGAGAGAUCUACACAAUCUACAUCUGUAAAAGUUUCAACUCAGAGAUGAUCAUGGUUGGCGUAAAGAAGUCAUUUUCCUGAUGCAGACUUUAGAUACUUCAAGAUGCGAAAGACAGCCUGCAUAUGAGUCUCAGGGUCAAGCAUGAAUUGGCUGGCUGACUAAGCUAACAGCAUAGACUAUAUUCGGUCGAGUGUGUGAGAGAUAAAUCAACCUCCCUGUCAAUCUUUGGUAUCUUCCAAUAUCCACAGACUCACUUGUAUCUUGUGAUUACUUUCAAUGAGAAAUUCUAUUUGUUUACACCCCAACACAACAAUUUCUUCCAAAAGAUUUAGAAUGAACUUUUUGGGGAGAUAAAAGAUCUCUUUUUCUGAUCUAGUCACCUCAAUACCUAAAAAAUAUUGAAACUUUCCCAUAUUUUUUAUUUUAAAUUCUUGAGCCAACAACCUUUUUAGUUGAGUCAUUUCCUCUUUAUCAUCACCUGUCACCACUAUAUCAUCAACAUACACUAUAAGAAGAGUGGUCUUAUACACAGAGUAUGAUCAACAUUGCUCUGUUGGUAACCAAAGGACAUCAUGGCUCUACUAAACCUAUCAAACCAAGCUCUGGGAGAUUUUUAUAGCCCAUAUAAAGCCUUUUUUAAUUUGCACAUCUUUCCUUGUGUCUUCUCAUCAGCAAAACCAGGAAGGAUCUCCAUGAACACCUUUUCAUCUAAAUCUCUAUAAGGGCCGCAUCUCCUCAAUAUGCUUUGGGUAGGUUCAUGGUAAACAAAAGAGAUCGAGCUACCUCCAAUAGAUACUUAUUUUUCCUUUCAGCAACCACAUUUUGUGCAUUAGUAUAAGACCAACUUGUCUAGUGUACUAUCCCAUUGACUCUUUAUAAGCAGAAAACCUACUAUCCAUAUAUUCUCUUCCAUUGUCAGUUCUCAAAAUUUUCACCUUAGUAUCAAAUUGAGUACAAAUCAUCUUGUGAAAAGAUUGAAAAUAAGAAAAAACAACACUUUUAACUUUAAUCAAAUACACCUAAAUCAUUCGAGUGCAACAAUCAAUAAAAGUGACAAACCAUUGAUUACCAGAUAAGGAGACAGUUUGAGUAGGCCUCCAAAUAUCAGAAUGAAUAGUCACAAAAAGAAUUUGACUUUUAUUAUCACUCAACGGAUAGGAGGUUCUAUUGUGCUUAGCAUACUCACAAGCAUCAUAAAAUAAAGAACCAAAUUGAGUUCUAGCAAACAAACUAGGAUAAAGUUUUUCUAAGAUAAAAAACAAUGAACGCCCUUACCGUCUGUGCUAUAUGUCUAUUCGCACCAGAAUCAAUAAUCCAUGAGCCAGUAUCAAGAGAGAAAGCAUUACCUAACUUCACAAAAUUAUAUGUGGCACCAAAAGCGGAAGAGGUGUCAAUAUGAGACAGGAGGCGCUUGAAAUUGUAAAUUUCAGCUGUUGUUCUCUUUAAAGGGCUCCUCCACAGUUUCUAAUAAAUUAGUGUGAACUCUAGAGGUACCUCGUUUCCCCCCAUAGCCCCUAGUAGGAUGACCAUAUAACUUUCAACAAGUCUCCUUAGCAUGCCUCGGUUUCCCAUAAUAGUCACGAUGCAAGUGAACUUUCUCAAAAUUAGGAGGCUGCAGUGUGCUCAAACUUGUAGCCAACCCAGCCACUUCAACUGGUACAGUAUAAAGCAUCGCAUGCCGGUGUUUGGGUCAGGCCUAACUCACCCCAAAAGCUAGCUCAAGAGGGAGGAGUGCCUAUAGCCCAUAUAAGGGGCACAUUACCCCUUUCCACAAUCGAUGUGGGAUUCAACACACCCCCACGCCCAGAAUUUUUACUGGUGCGUGGCACAUUUAUGGGGCACCCAACAUCGGAUGGAGAGGCUCUGAUACCAUGUUAAAUUUGGGUCAGGCCUAACUCACCCCAAAAGCUAGCUCAAGAGGGAGGAGUGCGUAUAGCCCAUAUAAGGGGCACAUUACCCCUUUCCACAAUCGAUGUGGGAUUCAACACCAGCCAUUUCAACUGGUACAGUAUAAAGCAUAGCAUGCCGGUGACUUUCCUCUUGUUGAAGAUAGACAUGGGCCUCUUCUAGUGAAUAAAAAGGGUUUUUACCUAACACUUGGACUCGAAUUGGAUCAUAUUCAUUAUUCAACUUUACAAAACAAUUAUAGACGCGCUCCUUUUUAAUCAUUUUUCGAAAAUCACUACAUCUCCAGUACACUCUGCCUGAAAGUGCAGAUAGUAAUCAAGCUCCUGCCAUCAACCACAUAACUCAGAAUAAAAUUGGGAGACAGUCAUUUUUCUUUGCUUAAUACUAUUGAUCAUAUUUCGAAUAUUAUAAAUUUAGUCAUCAUUCUCAAUCUUGGAAUAAGUCAAGAACAAAGCCUUCCAUAUCUUUGCAACAGUAUCAAGUAAUAGGACUUAUAGAUAUGAGAUUGCAUAGAGUUAAGUAAUCAAGUCAUAACAAGACAAUUAUCUGAGUCCCAUUGAGGAAAAUCUGGAUCAAUCUUAUCCGGUUGCUUCUUAUUACUAGUGACAUAGCUCUGCAAUCCUCUAGCCUUGAAAAACAACAAACAAGACCUUGACCAAGCAAGAUAAUUGGUUCCAUCAAGUUUUGCAGGACUAAUUUGCAAGGAAGGGCUAUCAGAGUUAGGAAUCAAGACCUUUUUACCUUCUGCCAUGAUAAAAAUGAACUGUGAAAGAAUAAAAGGUACCCAAGAUCGUACACAUAAGAGAGUCUUAACCAAAUCACCAAGAGACCAGGUAGCGGCAUGGGAUGGCCAAAAAGAGGUCGGAAAUGGCAGCCCGAGUGGACUGGGCAGGAAAGUAGUGUAAGACAGAAGCUCAUGCGCAAGGAAGGAAAGGCGCAUGAUCCUCACACACAUGGAGUUGCGGCAUCGAAGUUAGGCAGCUGGCCAGCGACAGUCCGAUGACUCUGCUGGUGGCAGCAAUGAGAUGAAAAAAAGUCCCUAGAUAAGGCAGUACCAAAUAGGUAGAUCUAGAGUUUAGAAAUUCUAAAAAGAAAAAAUUAAAUUUAAACCCUAAAAUAAGGAAAAGGCUCUAAUACCAUGAAGAAUUUUAAAGAAUUUUAAAGUAUUUUUGUUUUUCACUCUUAAUUUUUACAAGUGAUUAUAUGACUAUUUAUACACAAAGAAUUAAGACUAAAAAGAAAGCAAAUAAUCAAAUAACUACAAAAAUAAUUAAGGAUCCUAAUUUAUU